AGAUCUUCGUAGCCACGAGUUGGUAAAACGAAGAAGUCAGCAGAAGUCAUAGUACUUAGGAGCAACGAGCCGAUGAAUAAAUCGGAGGACUCACAACCCGAGGAAGGAC
rfam:Chryseobacterium haifense DSM 19056 contig02, whole genome shotgun sequence.